rnacentral:rRNA from 1 species
CUACGGGCGGCUGCAGUGGGGAAUAUUGCACAAUGGGCGCAAGCCUGAUGCAGCCACGCCGCGUGUGUGAAGAAGGCCUUCGGGUUGUAAAGCACUUUCAGUAGGGAGGAAGGUGGUAGUGUUAAUAGCGCUAUCACUUGACGUUACCUACAGAAGAAGCACCGGCUAACUCGGUGCCAGCAGCCGCGGUAAUACGGAGGGUGCGAGCGUUAAUCGGAAUUACUGGGCGUAAAGCGCAUGCAGGCGGAUUGUUAAGUCAGAUGUGAAAGCCCCGGGCUCAACCUGGGAAUGGCAUUUGAUACUGGCAAACUAGAGUACUGUAGAGGGGGGGAGAAUUUCAGGUGUAGCGGUGAAAUGCGUAGAGAUCUGAAGGAAUACCGGUGGCGAAGGCGGCCCCCUGGACAGAUACUGACGCUCAGAUGCGAAAGCGUGGAGAGCAAACAGGAUUAGAUACCCUUGUAGUC